AAUAAAUAAAUAAAUAAAUAAUAGUUAUGGCAUGACUGGCAUUGGAUAAAAAUUAAAUGAUGUAGACUUUCCAUCGGCAACUUAUAAUUGCAACAGGUAAUGAUACUAACUGUUGCUCAAAAAUAGAUUAACCAUCAUCAAAGACCUCAAUCACCAAAUAAAGUUGCUAUCAAUGAUGUGAACAAUUAGGGGUUUAGUCAUUAAUCAGCUUGUUUAGAAUGCAUACUAUCUACGCUAUGCAGGGGAUGCAGUUUUCCAUUGAAUGAUUCCACUGGAAGUCAAAAAAUCCAGCAAUGAAUGAGAAAAUAUCAUGGUCUGAUAAUGAAAGAGAAAGAAAGUCCUGCCAUAGAGUGUAUGGAGCAGCAUUAUCAACAUCAACUUAAGAAAACCAAACGAGCUUCUCAUUGCAUGCAUCAAGCUUACAUCAGAUACCAAAUCAAAAUUUAAUUCGCAAAAGAUUGGCUCAGUAUAGAUGGUACUCUGUCACAAAGCCGUUUACAAAGCACGCUUUGAAAUCAAUUUGAGUAUACUCAAAAAGCAUAUAGGUUAAAGAGAGCAAAAGGAAUGACAGAGAAGAUGAAGAACUAAAGAACCCUUCCAUUCUAUAGAAGUUUUCUGCAUAGUACCAGAAUUCCUGUAUGCUAAAGCCUUGUUACACUUCACUAGUCCUCCCCCCUACAAGUUUCUGCAUUUGUGAUUCUAUGUAAUGUGAUUAGUUCAACUGAAAAGCAGUAGAAUGCUAGAGAAAAAGAAAAGAAUUAGAACAAAAAGCAAAUUCAUAGAUCUACAAUGCAGUAAAUAGCACAAAUGAACUGAUUUAGAACACAGAAAAUAGCACAAAUGUACUACAAUACACAUAUAUUGCAUAUGCCACUAAAAAUUAGUUUAUUCCAGGAGAUAAAACACAGAGAUAAGGAUGAGAUGGGUUGUAUCCUUCUAAAUGGGGGCAGAUUCGAUGAUAUAUACAAAUGAACGACAGAAAAAUAAACAAGACUAUCUCAUAUAUAUGGAGCCUUCCUUUCUCUUUUAUUAUCAGCUGACAUGCACAUCUCACUCGAUUCAAAUGCAGUGGAUGACUGUUUACUCAGAAGUCUCACAAACGAAAUGAUCAACAGCUGUGGCCAAAAUAUGGAGUGCACCUAGCCCAGCUAAAGCAAUCCCAAAAGCUUCUCUUCUUGUUCCUCCCUGAAAGCUUAGCAUUUUCAGUUUCAUUUCUUUUCAGCAUCUCCCACAUAACACGAACAUCCUCAUAUUCACAAGCUCUUACAUCAUGAUGCAGCUUGAGUAACCCUAUCAUUUUCCCCCAGAAACAUUAGAUAAAAAUUAAGUAAAUCAAAACAUAUGCUACAAAUCAAGAAAAUCAUCAAACGCAGAAUACCCUGGACAUUUUAAGGAACUUUAAUUCUCCAAAAGAAACAAUGUGUAUAUGUUAAAGUCAUUUCAUCAACUGGGAAUCCCUCCCCCAAUUCUGUAGCCCUCAUGUCGCUGAUAGAAAAAGAUGGACAUAGCUACCAUGAUCUAGUGCGCGAAAAACUUCUAAUUUGAAAACAAAGGAUGUAAAGGACCAGGGUUUUGACUAUUGCUACAAAUUCAAGUUUGGCUGGCUAGCACAAUAUGACAAUAGCAGUCUGCCACCUCCCAUCUACCGGUGUCAAAAAAUUUCCCACAGAAAGAAAAAGGAUAUCACAAAAUUGCAAAUAAUUUUUUUAAUGACAGUGCUAUUACUCAUUUUAUAUUCAAUUAUGCAUUUGUUGGAACUAAUUCAUAACUGAAAUGAAUUUGAAUUCAGCUGGAUCUAUUUUUUGAAUUAAACUUGUGAAACCAGUACUGAUAAGAUGAAAUUAAAUUGAAAUAAAACAUA
rnacentral:misc_RNA from 1 species